CUGCGGUUUGCACCCCCUGAGUCCCCUGAACCAUGGAGUGGUGUGAGAGAUGGGACAUCACAACCAGCCAUGUGUCUACAAAAUCCUGAUAUGAUGAUUUCAGAGGGUCUGAAGAAGAUGAAUCUGAUCAUGCUUCCCACCCCCAUGUCUGAGGACUGCCUAUAUCUCAACGUCUACACACCAACCCAUGCCCAUGAAGGCUCUAACCUGCCUGUGAUGGUAUGGAUCCAUGGUGGUGCAUUGGUUAUAGGUGCGGCUUCAGAGUAUGAUGGAGCCCUACUGACAGCCACUGAGGAUGUUGUGAUGGUUUUUAUUCAGUAUCGUCUUGUUGUCCUGGGUUUCUUCAGGUGAGCUGGGA